CACGUAGUUAGCCGGUGCUUAUUCUUCAGGUACCGUCAUUAGCGAAGGAUAUUAGCCUUUACCGUUUCUUCCCUGACAAAAGAGCUUUACAACCCGAAGGCCUUCUUCACUCACGCGGCAUUGCUGGAUCAGGCUUUCGCCCAUUGUCCAAAAUUCCCCACUGCUGCCUCCCGUAGGAGUCUGGACCGUGUCUCAGUUCCAGUGUGGCUGGUCGUCCUCUCAGACCAGCUACUGAUCGUGGCCUUGGUGAGCCUUUACCUCACCAACUAGCUAAUCAGAUAUCGGCCGCUCCAGGAGCACAAGGUCCGAAGAUCCCCUGCUUUCAUCCUUAGAUCGUAUGCGGUAUUAGCGUAACUUUCGCUACGUUAUCCCCCACUCUUGGGUACGUUCCGAUAUAUUACUCACCCGUUCGCCACUCGCCGCCAGGUUGCCCCGCGCUGCCGUUCGACUUGCAUGUGUAAAGCAUGCCGCCAGCGUUCAAUCUGAGCCAGGAUCAAACU
rnacentral:rRNA from 1 species